UUCAACCUUGAUGAUUAUUGCUACUUAGAUAUUAGUUCCUUAGCAUGCUUUCACAUUGGUGCCAUUCUUAUUUAGCAAGUGGAAAAAGUAUAAGAAUACUGAACAAUGCGAAUUCACAUACAUAAUUGCUUAUGAAUCUACUUGUAUGGUUUAUUGGAAAAAGUAAAACAACUGGGCUGGGCGCACUGCCUCACGCCUGUAAUCCCAGUACUUUGGGAGGUCUGGGUGAACAGAUCACCUGAGGUUGGGAAUUUGAGACCAGCCUGGCCAACGUUGUGAAA
rnacentral:lncRNA from 10 species